AAGGAAGUCAAACCCAGAACAUCCUGUUCUAGUUAAUAAAGCUCAUUUGCUCCCAGCUUGAGCAGAAAAAUAGAAUCUCUGUGCCUGUGGGAGCGGCUCAACCUUUCCCACCUUUACUCUCAGCCCCUACACCCACACUCAUGGAUGGCUAGGGGCUCCUCGGUCCUCCCCAAAAAGCAGAUGCUCCUUCUGGAUGCUAACGUCCCAGGCAGGUCCCAGGCAGUUCAGUACAAACUCACUUCUUUUAGUGUUUCAGUGACGUGGGAUCCAGACACAAUGUAACUUGCUUCAAGAGACAUUCGUGUCAGAUAAAAGCUGGACCACCUCAUGCUUUGGAAACACUCCUGGUGGCACCUUCUUAGCUCUCUUCCAGCCUCAAUUCCCAAGCACGGGAACAACCCAAGGCAGACCCUGGAUGGCCCAGCUGGUCUGCCUGGGAAGGAGCCCACGUGUGAGUCAGAGCUUUUCAGCAAAAUGACACUUCUGCGGAUAAGCCUGCAAGCUUUUUCUUGUCAGAAAAUGAUGAGCACACAGAGGCCCAGAGCCGGGGAGGGAUGCAUUGACAGUCGCACUGCCAAAACGCUAAAACUGGCACAAAAGCCUUCGUCUCAUGACUCGCAGCUUUUUCUACGAAUGCACAGCGGGGCCUGGAAGUAUCUGCUCCUUCUGCUUCCUGCAGAUGGUCUCCAUUCAGUUUUCAGGGGCAACCUUUCGCCAGCUUUUCAUCCUGUGGCUUUCAAAGUAUGGUCCCUGCCCCAGCAGCAUCCGGGUCACCUCGAAUCUGCGUUUUACCAGGACUCCGGGUACUUCUAAUGCAAGCUGAUCUGUGAUGCCCUACGGUUAACCUGUUCGCCUCACCCACCCAGUUCAUCAGGGGGUCAGGACGCUAAUCAGAUCCAUCUAAUUUCACAGCCCUUUUCCGGCUUAGCUCUUCAAGUGACCUGUAAGGUGGGCGUUCACUUAAGGGACCCGUGGGGAACGAGUUUAUGGUAAAUUUGUGACUAGGAGCUGGAGUGGAAAGCUAGGAACCAGCACUCGCUCCCCCUACUUCCUCCAGUUGCUCCCACCUGCACUGCUGUCCUCUCCCCCCAGAUCUGCUCAUUUAAUUCCUUUCCCUCUCUUCCUUCAUAGCUGGCAUCUGCUUUUGGUCUACUACGACCCGACUCUGAUGUCUAAACCAUAGCACACUUUUUGCCCAAUUUCUCUUCCUAACUGUAAAAGUCUCCCUACAUAACUUUUCCCAUUUUUCCAUCACAUUCCUGUCAAGGACUCCAAUGGGCCCAGCCCGUCUUCUGAGCCAGGCCACGCUGGUCACUCCAGUGCUUGGUGGUCUUUGGUCUGAUGAGUUUUCCUGUCUAAUCAACUGCUGAGUGUGCAUUUUGGGAGAGGGAGGACUUCAGUGCACUCUACAGGAGGAGGAAGUUGGGGGAGGAGAAAGGAAGCACCCAGGGUCUCCUUCCAACCCACCCGAACCUCCCCACUAACCCUGUGAAUGAGACACGAGGGAACCUGGCAGCGGCUACAAUAGUUAGGCUUGCUGAAGGGUGAAUGGAGAUGGAGGUUCUGUUCUAUUAUCAUGACCUUAAUCUUCGAUUCACUGCCAGGCUGGAGUGGCCUAGGAAAUAGGGAUGGCAGGUUAUUGAUGCCCCGAAAGUCACAGAAGACCAAGUUGGGAAAACUGUCGAGAUCACCCAGCACAGUGGUUUGUAGUAUGGGCUGCCCAUGAGAAUCCCUGGCAAGCUUUUGAAAAGGAAACCUGCCCGGGACCCACCUUGGGGAUUGUGUCUUAAAAGCUCCCACAUGUUUUUAAUGCACAACUGUGACUAAGAACUAUGGCUUUAACUUGACCCUGUUUGUUUUCCAGGUGGGGAAAUAGGCUCAGCUAUAUAAUGUAACUGGGGCUCAGUCAGAGAUCUCCUUCCUAACUUGGUUAUAGAGUUUGGGUUAUUAGAUCAUCAGUGGCUAGAGCUGGUAGAGAUCACAGAAGCCAUGCAGUCCAACCCUAUGCUUUGACUUGAGACUACGGAGCUCAGAGACUUGCCUACAUGUUCAGCUGGGAAGCAGGGAGAGGGCUCCACACCAUACAUCCUGACUCUUCAUCCAGUGCUCUGCGCCCAGUGCCAGGGCUGCCGGAUGAGAAGCUAAGCAGACCCAGCUAUGGGUGGGUGGGUGCUUGCUGUGUUUUGGGGAGCCUUCUCAGUGGCACGGUGGCAACAGCUUGGCAGAGAAACCUGGUGUAACCACAUGAGGCAUGGGCUCGGCCAAAGGAAUCAGCACUUCGGUGCCCCAAGAAUGGGGAGCAGACAGCCGGUCUGAGGAUGCUAACCCUUGCUUUCUGCCUGCCUUCCAAUCAUGCUGGGAGCGUGUGUGUCUGUUCUGGACCAGCUGAGAGUGGGGCUGAGGUCCACGUGAUGAUGGGCUCAGAGGUCAUCCCUGGGUGUCAGGGGUCUUCGGACAUUUGCCGAGAUAACGUUGUUUUUGUUUCCCAGAGUGGCUUGAAGUCAAGAUGUUGGUGCUCACUGGUCCUGUGAAGGGUUAGCAAUGGCUUCAGCUGGCAUUUGGGAUGCAGAGGCACGUGGCCCAGGGCCCUUGGGUAUGUGUACGCAGGGACAGGUGGUGGAAGUGGUUGAGAUGGUUGAAGGUAAAGAGGUUCCGAUGUAAAAACAAAACCAGAUGAAAGAGUAAAUAAAAGCAUGUAGGGAUUCAAGCACAAAAGCAAAAACAAAAUGAGGCAAUGGCUGAACAGAUAUAGUGAGGAGGAAACAGGAAGCCCAAGGAGGUGAGUAUGAGCCUUAAUCGCACCCCUUCUGGCCGCUGGGGUGAAGGAGAAGUGAUGAAAAAGUCAUGUCUUUGGAAGCUUGUGAGGAAUUGGGCAAUGGAGAAAGCGCAUUCACACACAUUGAGCUCCUCUAACCUUUACAACGUGCCCACGAGGUGGACAGACCCUGUGAUCUGGGCUUGGGGAGAUCGAGUAGCUGAGCUCUAAGGCCAUGGGGCUAAUGGGGGAGCUGAGCUAUUUCCCCUGGGCCCCAGUCCCAGUGCUCUGUCCAUCAUGGGAUUGUGUGUGUCUGACCACCAUGUGUGCAGGCCAGUCAUACAAGGGAACUUGCAUGAAGUUAACAUGUAACACGAAGUUACAUUAACUUACAUGUUAAUCCCUCACGUGUCUCACUGACCGGGGCCAUGAGCAGCUCGACUGGGAUUGCAGGAGAAACCUGGGAAACUGGCACUGGGUCAGCAGGGACAUCUUAGACAAGUCAGCCUUAGUUUUGAUCUGGGUAAAGUAAGAAGCCCCUUUUGGGGUCGUGUAGGGCUCAGGGAUAAAGGACCCGAAGUAACUAGCCGAGGGCCUGCCACGGGCAUCGUCAGCAUUCCAUAAAUGGUAGUCGUUACUGUCCUAUAAACAUGUCACUGGAUUUGCAGAGAAGGAAGACAAUAGCCUGGCUUGGGGCCCAGGGAGGCUGGCUUUGUCCAGAUCCAAACCCAACUUCAGGUGUGUUCCACAGAGCCUCGGCCCGGUGAUGCCAAGGCCCACUUCCUCCCCUCCCCUCACCACUCAUCACAGCCUCUAGGACUGCACCUGUCCCUGCCAACAGGGACACAAGUCCAGAUCAUUUCAGGUCCACAUCCAACCAGAGAGUGUGUGGCACUUCAGAGGACUGAACUGCCUCAGCCAGGGAGGGUGACUCAGAGUCACAUGACAGAGCCCGGGGGCACAGCUGCUGAGCACCUAGGAGGGCAGGCCCUUGACACACGGAAUCUCACUGACAAGCAGCCACACGAAUGGGCAUCCCUCCCAUUUCCCACAUGAGGAGACUGAGGGGCUGCUAAACCAUCAACAGUCAUUGGAAAAUAGUCAUCGGAAACGGGGAUUCAAGGCCAAGUCUGCCUGGCUUCAAGGUCCGUGCUCCUUCCAGCUCCUACACACUGCCCUCAUCACCCAUCCAGGUGGGACCGCACACAGAGGCUGGGAGAUGUUAGGGUUCCAGGGAUGUGCACAUCUCUCAGAGCCCAAGAGGAGGGCGGUGAAGACAAGGUUUAAGCUUGUGAGGAACUGGACAAUGGAGAAAGCACAUUCACACACGUUGAGCUCCUCUGACCUUUACGAUGUCCCCACGAGGUAGACAGUUCCUGUGAUUCAGAGUUGACCAGUUUGGUCAAGAUGGAGGAGCCUGGGGGAGGGAGAGGAUUCCCUCUCACUGGAUAGCAGUCUUACACCCAUACUGGCUUCCCCACAGCCCCCUCCUUAGCUGAGUUGCAUUUUGGACUCCUGCCUGGGCUCCCCCAGGGCUUGCUCCUCUUCUGAGUCACAUGUUAAUGACACUCAAAGGCCUUGCUUCAAGCCAGGCUCUGCAGGAUCUAUGGCCCACGGAGGCACACACAGAGGGUGUGCCAAAGGAGAAGAAGGAAGGGGCAGAGGAGGCUCCACAAAGCCUAGAACCUUCGGCCGUGUUUAUUGCCCAGGGAUAUUCAGGUGCCCAUGAGAUAGCCCCGCAUCUCCCUCAAGGUGGUGAGGCGAUGCAGAGGCACGCUGGAAGUUCAAUUUUAGCGUUGGCUGGACCUCAUUAGUUAGCUUGGAGGGGGGCAGGCCCUUUCACAGAGGACUCCAUUGUUUCUGGGAACCUGGCAGGAAUGUUUAUCAUUUCAGAAACCGAGAAGGAGCUGGCUCUCUCCCUCUUGGCCUUGGGGCUGUCCUCCUUUCAGAUGCUAAUCCAUAAAGCCAUUCCUAGCCAGGCCUCGGAGGCAGCUCAGGCCUGAGGUGGAGCCUGUAUUCUCAAUUCCUUCAAGAGCAAGGCAGGUGUGGAAUCCACACCUGGAAAGUGGCCAAAUGGAAACCUGGAGCAACAGCUCAGAUGUCACAUGUCAAAUAGUUUCGUCGGGUAAUCAUCUGAAGGAGGGUUUGUGCAAAACACAUGCGGUAAGUCUGUACCAGGAGCGUGAGGGAAGGAUCCAAGAACACAGUCCAGUCUGCCCAUGCCUGCCUCAGCCCCGCACAGCCUCGGGCCCAUUCUCUUCCAAGAGAGGCUCAGCAAACAGGAUCUAGCGAUCAAAUAUUCCUGGAGCCCCAAAAGCCCACCAAACGGGACCACUCCCAGACCACAGCAGGCAGUGGAGCUUGGUGGUACCCGUCCACAUUCCAGUUCACACUGCAUGGGUUGGCACGCAGGCCUUGCUGGGUAUGAGCUGUGUGACUUUGGGCAAGUCAUUUCUCUGUGCCUCAGUUUGUCCAUCUACAAGUAAGAUGAUAGUCAUACGCACCUCUUAGGGGAUUGUGCUAAUUAAAUGAGCUCAUAUAUAUAAAGACCGUAGGAUAGUUAGUACCUGGCCUUCAGCGGACAUGCAUUGUGCUUAUCAUCCUCUUCUGCUCUGGGCAACUGCAGGUCUGCGGGGAUGACAACAUGCCUUGUUUCCCACGCUAUGUGUCCAGCUUCUGUAGUACGCUGACUGCACCCACUCAGGGCUGACCUGGUUCUCUGGGCUGCAGUUGAUGGCAGGGUCCUAUUUCCACGCAUAUGAACCCCCUACUCGGCUGCCACACACGUCCCUCUCCAUUGUUGACCCAUUGGGGAAUUGCCAAUGGGGCCUGAACCCAAGUGACACGGCUCCCCGUGACUCCAACCCCUUGGGCUUGGUUGGGAAGGGAACCAAGCACUUUGUUCUUUUUGGGCAGAGACACUGGCCAAUUCUUCUAUCUCUCUAUUCUCCCGUUUCACCCACCACGAGGUCCCAGAGACCUUACAUUCUAGCAAGCGGAAAGGUGGGUAUGCCUGGGUCAACAAAUAAUUUUGCCUCCUCCAUUCUUUGCUUUCACCUUUUAUGGCCCAGCUUAAAUGGCAUGUCUUUGAUGUGGCUUUCCCUGAUUCUCGUGGUCAGAAUUCUUACUUCACUGGUUGCGAAACUGUGAUGUUGGACAAGUUCCUUUCCUCUGGCUACCUCAGUUUUCCCAUCUGGGAAAUGGAGAUACUGCUACCAAACUAACCUGACAGGACACUGGGAAGAUCCAAUAUAAGCCAAUGGAUGUAAAAACCUACCUCCCCAACCCACGACCUUACACUCCUUGCCAGGCACAGGCGAUGGGGAGAAACCCAAGCAGGAUGACUACAUAGGUGUCUACAAAAUCAAACCCUUUCCUGGAAUGGCCAUUCCUCCUUCUUUACUCAUGGAAUUCCCAGUCAUUCACCUGGACCAGCUCAAAUAUCUCUUCUGUGAUGCAAUCCUACUGUCCCCAGGGAAAAAUAAAUUUCUCCCUCCCAUGUACUCCCAUGUAGUUCUUUG